UACGUAGGGGGCUAGCGUUGUCCGGAAUCAUUGGGCGUAAAGCGCGCGUAGGCGGCCCGGUAAGUCCGCUGUGAAAGUCCAGGGCUCAACCCUGGAAAGCCGGUGGAUACUGCCGGGCUAGAGUCCGGAAGAGGCGAGUGGAAUUCCUGGUGUAGCGGUGGAAUGCGCAGAUAUCGGGAAGAACACCCGUGGCGAAGGCGGUUCUCUGGGACGGUACUGACGCUGAGACGCGAAAGCGUGGGGAGCGAACAGG
rnacentral:rRNA from 1 species